CAUAAAUUCGCCAUCGUGAGUUAGCUUAUUUGUAACGGAAGUGAAAGGUGACUUAUAAUAGCUAAAAGCAAACCGCAUUUUCGAGUGCAAAUAGAAAUUGUCCAAGAGUAGGAGGAACUAUAUCGUUCCAACAUCCAUUUCCAAAAAGGCUGAGCGGUGAAUCGCGGUGAUAACCUGAAAAGGGAAAAAAUUGCCAAAGGUUCCAAAAAAUAUUGGAACAUAGAUUCAACAGCGUUACACCACACGAGGAAUUAAAAUAUUCGCUAAACGUUAGGGUAGCUAAACCGAAAUUAGGCCAGG